GUUAGAUGAUUCUUGGAAAGCAAAUGUAGCUAUUGUGGGAGGAGUUCUUGGAGGACUCCUAGCCCUGGUUAUCAUCGUUUUCGUCAUUAUUUUCUACAACCUUCGAAAGAAGCAGUCUCAAACAAGAACUGUGAUGGAUUCCGAGGACAAAAAGUGACUGGACCAAUCACAUCGCGAGUCACCAGACGCGGCUCGCGUCUACACCCAAUCAUGAACAACUCCUGUUAAUACUAUAGUUUGAUUUUUCCUGUCUUUAAAACUCAUGACAGACAGUGUUACUAAUAAUUAGGGCUAACGUUUUCAUUAAAAAAUGUUCUAGCAAAAGACAAAACCCAUUUGAAGGAAUUAAUUGUCAGACAACGUUUCUAAUAAUAUGCAGAAAGCGAAAAUUUUUUCAUCUGUUUCAAAAAUUGUCUUCAUUGUUUAUGUUGUUUCUGCUACAGUUCAAGGGAAAUAUCAAUUCAUUAAUAAAUGCCAAAUUUUUAAUUCUCUAGUCAUUAGUGCUCUGUUGAUAUAUUAGCAAGUAAAAUAUAUGAUUAUUUCAAUACGUUAAUUUAGCCAGUUAUGUAUAAUCUAGUGUAAAAUGUGAAAUAAGAUAUAAAUAAAGGUUAUCACACAAUAA